rnacentral:siRNA from 1 species
GAAGUAACGCAAAUGUGGUCUCGU